rnacentral:rRNA from 1 species
AUUGAACGCUGGCGGCAGGCCUAACACAUGCAAGUCGAGCGGAGGAAGGGAGCUUGCUCCUGGAUUCAGCGGCGGACGGGUGAGUAAUGCCUAGGAAACUGCCUGGUAGUGGGGGAUAAAGUCCGGAAACGGGCGCUAAUAACGCAUACGUCCUGAGGGAGAAAGGGGGGGAGCUUGGGAGCUCACGCGAUCAGAUGAGCCUAGGUCGGAUUAGCUAGUUGGUGGGGUAAAGGCCUACCAAGUCGACGAUCCGUAACUGGUCUGAGAGGAUGAUCAGUCACACUGGAACUGAGACGCCGUCCCGGCUCCUACGGGAGGCAGCAGUGGGGAAUGUUGGACAGUGGGCGGAAGCCUGAUCCAGCCAUGCCGCGUGUGUGAAGAAGGUCUUCGGAUUGUAAUGCACUUUUAGUUGGGAUGAAGGGCAGUAAGUUAGUACCUUGCUGUUUUGACGUUACCAGCAGAAUAAGCACCGGCUAACUUCGUG